rnacentral:rRNA from 1 species
UACGGAGGGGGCUAGCGUUGUUCGGAAUUACUGGGCGUAAAGGGCGCGUAGGCGGCGCGAUAAGUUGGGCGUGAAAGGCCCCGGGGCUCAACCCGGGGACUGCGCUUGAUACUGUCGCGCUGUGAGUCCGGGGAGAGGAUGGCGGAAUUCCCAGUGUAGAGGUGAAAUUCGUAGAUAUUGGGGAAGAACACCGGUGGCGAAGGGCGGGCCAUCUGGGACCGGCACUGACGCUGAGGGCGCGAAAGCGUGGGGAGCAAACAGG